rnacentral:lncRNA from 10 species
CAGUUGGCUGUACUGGCUGUUAGAUGAAAACUAACGUGGGGUCGAGGCACCAGCCCGCUGUCGGCUGGCACGACCACUCCUGCGGCCUGGGCUUCAGAUUCUCUCUCUAGCUGCAGGCAUUAAAUUAUGAUGAAGGCCACAGAAAAAUGAUUAAGGUCAAAGUCUAGAAUCAAUUGUCAGCCUAUGUUAUGGACAUAACAUUUAUGUACCAUUGGGUCAUGAGGGUGGAGCGCUCAUGAAUGGAAUUAGCGACCUUAUGAAAGAGAGACUAGAGAGCUGUCUCAUCCCUUCUGCUGUGUGAGGACCUGGUGAAAAGAUGUCAGCUAUGAAACAGAAAGCGAGGCCUCAGCAGACACUACAUCUUUUGGUGCCUUGAUCUUGGACUUUCCAGCCUCCAGAACUGUGAGUAAUAAAUUUCUGUUGUUUAUAAUCUACCCAGUCUAUGGUAUUUUGUUAUGGCAGUCCAAAUGAACUAAGGUAUUCUCUAAAGUGUUUCUGCCAAGACUUCUCCUUAGUGGGGA